rnacentral:rRNA from 1 species
UACGGAGGGGGCUAGCGUUGUUCGGAAUUACUGGGCGUAAAGCGCACGUCGGCGGCUUUGUAAGUUAGAGGUGAAAGCCCAGGGCUCAACCCUGGAAUUGCCUUUAAGACUGCAUCGCUAGAAUUGUGGAGAGGUAAGUGGAAUUCCGAGUGUAGAGGUGAAAUUCGUAGAUAUUCGGAAGAACACCAGUGGCGAAGGCGACUUACUGGCCCGAUACUGACGCUGAGGCACGAAAGCGUGGGGAGCAAACAGG